rnacentral:rRNA from 1 species
UACGUAGGGUGCGAGCGUUAAUCGGAAUUACUGGGCGUAAAGCGUGCGCAGGCGGUUCGUUAAGUUCGUUGUGAAAGCCCCGGGCUCAACCUGGGAACUGCAAUGGAAACUGGGGGACUCGAGUGCGGGAUGGGAGAGUAGAAUUCCUGGUGUAGCGGUGAAAUGCGUAGAUAUCAGGAGGAACACCGGUGGCGAAGGCGGCCCGCUGGGCAGGAUGGCUGACGCU